AUUGAACGCUGGCGGCAGGCCUAACACAUGCAAGUCGAGCGGAUGAAGGGAGCUUGCUCCUGGAUUCAGCGGCGGACGGGUGAGUAAUGCCUAGGAAUCUGCCUGGUAGUGGGGGAUAACGUGCGGAAACGGGCGCUAAUACCGCAUACGUCCUGAGGGAGAAAGUGGGUGAUCUUCGGACCUCACGCUAUCAGAUGAGCCUAGGUCGGAUUAGCUAGUAUGUGGGGUAAAGGCCUACACAGGCGACGAUCCGUAACUGGUCUGAGAGGAUGAUCAGUCACCCUGGAACUGAGACACGGUCCAGACUCCUACGGGAGGCAGCAGUGGGGAAUAUUGGACAAUGGGCGAAAGCCUGAUCCAGCCAUGCCGCGUGUGUGAAGAAGGUCUUAGGAUUGUAAAGCACUUUAAGUUGGGAGGAAGGGAAGUAAGUUAAUACCUUGCUGUUUUGACGUUACCAACAGAAUAAGCACCGGCUAACUUCGUG
rnacentral:rRNA from 1 species